AUAACGGUCCUAAGGUAGCGAAAUUCCUUGUCAGGUAAGUUCUGACCCGCACGAAUGGCGUAAUGAUUUGGGCACUGUCUCAACAGCCCGCCCGGCGAAAUUGUAGUACUGGUGAAGAUGCCAGUUACCCGCAACUAGACGGAAAGACCCCAUGGAGCUUUACUGUAGCCUAAUACUGAAGAUCGGUAAUGCAUGUACAGGAUAGGUGGGAGCCAGCGAAACCCGGGCGUCAGCUUGGAUGGAGGCAACCUUGGAAUACCACCCUUGUAUUGCUGGUUUUCUAACCUGCGGCCAUGAAUCUGGUCGGGGGACACUGUUAGGUGGGCAGUUUGACUGGGGCGGUCGCCUCCAAAAGCGUAACGGAGGCGCUCAAAGGUUGGCUCAGCACGGACGGAAAUCGUGCAUAGAGUGCAAACGCAUAAGCCAACUUGACUGCGAGACCGACGGGUCGAGCAGGUACGAAAGUAGGAGUUAGUGAUCCGGUGGUAUGUGAGUGGAAAUGCCAUCGCUCAACGGAUAAAAGCUACCCUGGGGAUAACAGGCUGAUCUCCCCCAAGCGUCCACAGCGACGGGGAGGUUUGGCACCUCGAUGUCGGCUCGUCACAUCCUGGGGCUGUAUUCGGUCCCAAGGGUUCGGCUGUUCGCCGAUUAAAGUGGCACGCGAGCUGGGUUCAGAACGUCGUGAGACAGUUCGGUCCCUAUCUGUUGCGGGCGCAGGAGAUUUGAAGGGAGCUGUCCUUAGUACGAGAGGACCGGGAUGGACAGACCUCUGGUGCACCAGUUGUCGUGCCAACGGCACAGCUGGGUAGCUACGUCUGGACGAGAUAAACGCUGAAAGCAUCUAAGUGUGAAACUCCCCCUAAGAUAAGAUCUCCCAUCCAUUAGGAGUAAGGGACGACAAAGACUAUGUCGUUGAUAGGUCGGAAGUGUAAGUGCAGUAAUGCAUUAAGCUGACCGAUACUAAUAACCCGAGGGCUUGACCU
rnacentral:rRNA from 1 species